rnacentral:lncRNA from 1 species
GCCUUCUGCUCCGAAGCAAAGCGGCUUGCCAGGUCCUUCAAACAGGGAGCCAUGCUGCUGGGUAAUUUGGGGAGAGUAUCGUAAUUUUAAUGUCCCUAAAAAAAUCUCAAAGCCGUAUUAGCUCCAGAUUCCCUGAGUGUCCUGCCGGCCCAUGUGUCAGCGUGGCUGUGGGGGGAAGAGCUGUGAGCCUGACUUUUCUUACUCCCAGAGGAGUUUCUUGUCGGACCCAAUGGGGUCCAUGAAGACACUGAUGGGGAUGGACCCAAACCACAGAGCAUCAGAUGCAGUUUUUCCACUGUGUUCAUCUUCUCAGCAAAUCCUGUUGCCCAGUUAUUCGGGAGCUCUUGCCAAUCUCUUUCCUGCAUCCUUCCUGUGAAGGAAGGGACACAGGGCUACUGUGACUGGAGAGAGGAGUGGGAGAAAGUCAGUCCGGCUCAAGAGCAGUUGGGGUUGAGUUCUGCUGAGCUCACGUCCCUCCCUGCAGCUGCCCUCUCAGCACGUCCGGCUUAUACAAAGGAUACUUUGUAAAUGUUUGCAGCUUGCACUUGACCCGUCCUGGAUCCAUGCUGCUUAUUGCAGUAGUCAGCACUUAGACUUUCACAGAGCACACAGGCAAAAGCACCUGGAAACACUCUCCUCAACCUCUGACCAUCUUAGAAUGUCCUUGGGUCAAAUGAGUACCACAUGGAGUCUUUGCUCCGAGAGCUGCACCUAGCAGGGAUUUCCUCCAGUCCACCUCCAGAAGCAACAGGCACGGGUUAAAACUGCUAGCACACAGAGGUCAUGCCCUCUUGCCUGCCUGUGGCUGGUGGCCCCAAGAGGAAACAAGUUGACUUUGAAAUCAGAGAGUACUGACUCUCGGCACUUACUGUUGGGCAGGAGCCGGUGUUUCCGGCCCCUGGCACCCCAUAUCACUACAUGGCCCAGCAAGCUCAUGGCCAUCAGUUAUCCUGUAGCUGGAUGUAGGGUAAAGUUGUUUAUGUCCAGGGCCUACUAGUUGUCACUCAUAAAUACCCCUCGUGGGGGUGGAGCUUUGUGUUUUCAGCAAAGAAAACAUUUUCUUUUUCCUCGUACCUCCUCACUGGUCCGUGCUGGGACUGUGAGCAUUGUUCAGUCCUCCCUAGACACACGCUAGUGGAAUCUGUGCUACUGCCUAAGGGUCUGAGGCUAGCACCACACAGUGCCUGCAGAACAGGACUACCUAGGCUUCUAAACUAUCUCCCAGGCAAAGCUGAGCAGAGGAGAGGGGCAAAGAGGCACCCCCUGGUGUCCCAGUGGCCUGUGGAAACGCCAUUGCUAACUCCUCAUGAAGCAUUGCUUUCUCUCAGACCUGAUCCAGAUGGCCUUGGCCUGGGAUCCUUUCUCUGAACCUGUUGAAAUUAGUCUUUUCUCACAUUAUGUACUGCGGAAUGGCUCAUUUUAACUUUUCUACUUUAGUCUUCUCUUUGGGGAUCCGUUUCUCUCUGCCUUAUUCUCCCAGGUAUACAGAGGUGGUGAUGUCACUGCUGGCGCUCACCUGCUUGUUCUCUCAGUGCGUGUCACUCAGGUGUGGCCUGUGGAAAUGCAAAGGGAGCCAUUCAUGUUCGACUUUCCUCCAUGUAGUCACUCAAGUAGACAGUCCCAGACAUCAGAGCGUCUAUGCUGACUCCCUGCUAGGACUAGCCGAUGCUCAAUACUCACCCGUUACUGUCUCCUAACACUCAGACAGUUUAGACAUAAGCAAAGGCAUUGGGGGUGUGGCUGCAUGUAUGUAUGUGAGGGUCAGUGUGCUCCUUGGUGCUAGAAAAAGGUACUGUUGAGAUGGUGCACCAUGUGGGUAAGCUGUGUAACGCUCGAUCUGUGAUUCAGUCUGUCUAAGAAAGCAGCAUGGAAGGGCCGGGGGAACCGUAAGUUGUUUGGCCUCACAGCCUCUAUACCAUAUGAGGAGGCUGAAGACAGGAGCCCUGUGCCUGGGGUUGAGGAGGAGCCAGUGCAGCAGUUAACCUUGGCACGGGCUGAACAGGAAGUUUGCUUAUUCGUAUACUGGGCCGGAGACUGAAAACCGAGGCUGCCACUUAGAGAAAGUAGAGUUGGGUCACCAGUGCUGCUCCUGGGGCUAAGCCAGAGACCCUCACGUGAGGAACGGGGGAGUUGAGGGCAAAAAUCCUGAUGAGAAAGAUUGAGAGACCUUUUCUGGUCACUCUCCUCAGCAGCACCUCAGUUAUUCUUGGGGCUGCACAUCUGAGCAGCUAUCUAGGACGCCCUUCCAUAGUGGCUCCUCCAACUGCUUUGUCACUGUCUCCAGCCGUCUUCACUUGUGUAACUCACAUUCUGGGGCCUGUUGUCUUUGAGAUCUGUUCCUUAUCAACUUUUCAAUCCUUUCCCAAGUCCGUUCUGUUUCUUGCUUUGGUUUAAUUCCCCAAGCCAUACCUUCUAGAUUUCUGUCAGCAUAGAUGCGCCGAAAUUGAACCCGCACGGUUCAAAGAAAGCUUCCUCAACAAUGUUUUAAGACUAAUGGUAUUUUUUUUAAGCAUACCAGUAUAAGUAUUUUUAAAGGUAUUUUUCAAAGUCAUAACAAUGAUUGUUUUAUCUCACAGAAUAGACUAUCAUGGGAUAAAGAAUGGUCCCUAGCUUCUAUUUUUCAAAAUAAGUAGGACAUGUUCUUGGACUUAAACUAUUAAAAGUUAACUCUCCUAAAAGAAAAAAGAAAUAUAUUCAGCUUGCCAGAACUUUUUGUUGGCAUGAGAUUGGGGAAGAGAACAGGAAUGCCAGGAUUAACAUUCGGACGGCCCCAGCUGGGUCUCACUAGGUUUGACGUGAGCACCUUCCACUCCAUUGGAGAAACUGGCUAUUCUGAACAGUUAGUUGGUUGGUCGGGCGUUUAGCUUUGAGGCUCCUGAACAGAAAACACUGUUGGAAAGAGUCACCCAUGACAUCACCAGCGUCAGUGGGGAGUUAGCCUCUGAGUUCAGUGUAUCACGUUACUGUCUAAUGCUUUGUGCAGAAUUAUUUUGGCUUUUGUCAUUUAGCCAAAUAAAGGCCACGCGUUUUUGCCUGGUGUUUCAA